UUUUAUGGAGAGUUUGAUCCUGGCUCAGGAUGAACGCUGGCGGCGUGCCUAAUACAUGCAAGUCGAGCGAACGGACGAGAAGCUUGCUUCUCUGAUGUUAGCGGCGGACGGGUGAGUAACACGUGGAUAACCUACCUAUAAGACUGGGAUAACUUCGGGAAACCGGAGCUAAUACCGGAUAAUAUUUUGAACCGCAUGGUUCAAAAGUGAAAGACGGUCUUGCUGUCACUUAUAGAUGGAUCCGCGCUGCAUUAGCUAGUUGGUAAGGUAACGGCUUACCAAGGCAACGAUGCAUAGCCGACCUGAGAGGGUGAUCGGCCACACUGGAACUGAGACACGGUCCAGACUCCUACGGGAGGCAGCAGUAGGGAAUCUUCCGCAAUGGGCGAAAGCCUGACGGAGCAACGCCGCGUGAGUGAUGAAGGUCUUCGGAUCGUAAAACUCUGUUAUUAGGGAAGAACAUAUGUGUAAGUAACUGUGCACAUCUUGACGGUACCUAAUCAGAAAGCCACGGCUAACUACGUGCCAGCAGCCGCGGUAAUACGUAGGUGGCAAGCGUUAUCCGGAAUUAUUGGGCGUAAAGCGCGCGUAGGCGGUUUUUUAAGUCUGAUGUGAAAGCCCACGGCUCAACCGUGGAGGGUCAUUGGAAACUGGAAAACUUGAGUGCAGAAGAGGAAAGUGGAAUUCCAUGUGUAGCGGUGAAAUGCGCAGAGAUAUGGAGGAACACCAGUGGCGAAGGCGACUUUCUGGUCUGUAACUGACGCUGAUGUGCGAAAGCGUGGGGAUCAAACAGGAUUAGAUACCCUGGUAGUCCACGCCGUAAACGAUGAGUGCUAAGUGUUAGGGGGUUUCCGCCCCUUAGUGCUGCAGCUAACGCAUUAAGCACUCCGCCUGGGGAGUACGACCGCAAGGUUGAAACUCAAAGGAAUUGACGGGGACCCGCACAAGCGGUGGAGCAUGUGGUUUAAUUCGAAGCAACGCGAAGAACCUUACCAAAUCUUGACAUCCUUUGACAACUCUAGAGAUAGAGCCUUCCCCUUCGGGGGACAAAGUGACAGGUGGUGCAUGGUUGUCGUCAGCUCGUGUCGUGAGAUGUUGGGUUAAGUCCCGCAACGAGCGCAACCCUUAAGCUUAGUUGCCAUCAUUAAGUUGGGCACUCUAAGUUGACUGCCGGUGACAAACCGGAGGAAGGUGGGGAUGACGUCAAAUCAUCAUGCCCCUUAUGAUUUGGGCUACACACGUGCUACAAUGGACAAUACAAAGGGCAGCGAAACCGCGAGGUCAAGCAAAUCCCAUAAAGUUGUUCUCAGUUCGGAUUGUAGUCUGCAACUCGACUACAUGAAGCUGGAAUCGCUAGUAAUCGUAGAUCAGCAUGCUACGGUGAAUACGUUCCCGGGUCUUGUACACACCGCCCGUCACACCACGAGAGUUUGUAACACCCGAAGCCGGUGGAGUAACCUUUUAGGAGCUAGCCGUCGAAGGUGGGACAAAUGAUUGGGGUGAAGUC
rnacentral:rRNA from 1 species